rnacentral:rRNA from 1 species
GGUUAAGCGACUAAGCGUACACGGUGGAUGCCCUGGCAGUCAGAGGCGAUGAAGGGCGUGCUAAUCUGCGAUAAGCGCCGGUAAGGUGAUAUGAACCGUUAUAACCGGCGAUACCCGAAUGGGGAAACCCAGUGUGAUUCGUCACACUAUCAUUAACUGAAUCCAUAGGUUAAUGAGGCGAACCGGGGGAACUGAAACAUCUAAGUACCCCGAGGAAAAGAAAUCAACCGAGAUUCCCCCAGUAGCGGCGAGCGAACGGGGAGGAGCCCAGAGCCUGAAUCAGCAUGUGUGUUAGUGGAAGCGUCUGGAAAGGCGCGCGAUACAGGGUGACAGCCCCGUACACAAAAGCGCAUAUGCUGUGAGCUCGAUGAGUAGGGCGGGACACGUGGUAUCCUGUCUGAAUAUGGGGGGACCAUCCUCCAAGGCUAAAUACUCCUGACUGACCGAUAGUGAACCAGUACCGUGAGGGAAAGGCGAAAAGAACCCCGGCGAGGGGAGUGAAAAAGAACCUGAAACCGUGUACGUACAAGCAGUGGGAGCACCCUUUGGGGUGUGACUGCGUACCUUUUGUAUAAUGGGUCAGCGACUUAUAUUCUGUAGCAAGGUUAACCGUAUAGGGGAGCCG